CUACGGGACGCUGCAGUGGGGAAUAUUGGACAAUGGGGGGAACCCUGAUGCAGCAACGCCGCGUGGAGGAUGACGCAUUUCGGUGUGUAAACUCCUUUUAUAUGUCAAGAAAAUGACGGUAGCAUAUGAAUAAGCACCGGCUAACUCCGUGCCAGCAGCCGCGGUAAUACGGAGGGUGCAAGCGUUACUCGGAAUCACUGGGCGUAAAGGACGCGUAGGCGGGUUGGAAAGUCAGGUGUGAAAUCCUACAGCUUAACUGUAGAACUGCACUUGAAACUUCUAAUCUAGAGUAUGGGAGGGGGAGAUGGAAUUAGUGGUGUAGGGGUAAAAUCCGUAGAUAUCACUAGGAAUACCAGUGGCGAAGGCGAUCUCCUGGAACAUUACUGACGCUAAGGCGUGAAAGCGUGGGGAGCAAACAGGAUUAGAUACCCUAGUAGUC
rnacentral:rRNA from 1 species